rnacentral:rRNA from 1 species
UAGGGAAUCUUCGGCAAUGGACGAAAGUCUGACCGAGCAACGCCGUGUGAGUGAAGAAGGUUUUCGGAUCGUAAAACUCUGUUGUUAGAGAAGAACAAGGACGUUAGUAACUGAACGUCCCCUGACGGUAUCUAACCAGAAAGCCACGGCUAACUACGUGCCAGCAGCCGCGGUAAUACGUAGGUGGCAAGCGUUGUCCGGAUUUAUUGGGCGUAAAGCGAGCGCAGGCGGUUUCUUAAGUCUGAUGUGAAAGCCCCCGGCUCAACCGGGGAGGGUCAUUGGAAACUGGGAGAAUUGAGUGCAGAAGAGGGGAGUGGAAUUCCAUGUGUAGCGGUGAAAUGCGUAGAUAUAUGGAGGAACACCAGUGGCGAAGGCGGCUCUCUGGUCUGUAACUGACGCUGAGGCUCGAAAGCGUGGGGAGCAAACAGG